UCUCCAAAGUUGCUUCCCUUCUUUUUAUUUUCUUCUCACCUCACGGAAGAUUGUAGAAAAUUUUUCUUGGAAAAGGAAGGAGUACAAUCAUCAUCUUAUGGAACGGGAUUAGCUUUAGCUAAAAUUUAGAAAACUGAUCAAGCGGGCUAAGCAAUUCUAUCAUAUCUUCAGGCUGAACUCUUCUGAUAUCACAGGUUCAGGAGAAAGGGUUUCCCCCCUAUCAAACACAACAAAAGGGUUAGCAACUGUGGUAGCCAAUCAAAGAACAUAUGAAAAAUAGCGGUGACGAGUACUGGAUAGCUCAACGGGAUGGAAUAAGUGAAAGGAAGCAGGGAAGAUUAGCAUUAAUCAUGAAAUUCCAUAUGGAUGGUUCUAGUCAAACAUGGGGUGCAUCGGACACAGUCUCUCUUUUGGUCUUAGUUGUUAUAGGUGUUUUCUGAUUGCGCUACUACUUUUGUAGUUGUGACCCUGUCACAUUUUGUUCAGCUUAGUCAGGGACUAUUAUGCAGUAGUUGUUCUAAUGCUUAACCAUGAUAAAACCUCAGUAGUUUUAUAUAAGCAGCUACUUACUACAUGCUACAUUUUGCUGUAAAGUACUAUGGAGGAUGCCCUUACCACAUUAAUAGCGGUGUAACAUCCAUUCUA